CGAGCAGGUUCUUUAGAGGUCUUGCCUCCCAUCACAAAUGGUUUUUCAAAGUCUUCUGUUCCAGGAGUCUCCUUAAAGAUAAAGAUUAGAGGAUGCUGCAGUGACCACCUCCCCCCAGUCCUAGACGAUCUGGAGGGAAGGAAGGACACAUGACUUUUCAAACACCAUCUUCUACAAGUGGAUGGCAGAGUCUACGAAGAAGAAACGAUAUGUGUUUAGAGGUGGGGGUGAGAAAGAAGCAGACUGAGAGCAGGCUGGAUCUUCUUACGCCAACUCAACGCAGGAGGAAUCUGUCCCGCAAUUCACGUGAUGUCAGCCUCUAGAGAAGAACACUGGUAAACGAAGCAGAUCCGCUGCCAGGGUGACACAGAGAGGGACGAGAUGUGGACUGACAAGGUGCCCGAAUAUAUAUUUUUCUGAACUAUGAUGAAUUUUUUUUUUCCGCGGAGCCAGUAUUCUGACCACUGUCCCACGUUGACACUUUUAUUAUCUGUAGCUCAAUUUCAUGGAGCAGAUUUGGUUUUCUUUUCCGAUCGCAAGAUUCUUUCAAAACAAAUCAGCCUCACUCUCUGGUGGUACCUUUGUUUUGUUCCUCUUCCUGGGAGGACGUUCCUUGAGGACAGAAUUCAUGUAGCUCUGUGUGGAAUAAAAUCAUUCAUUUUUUUUUUCCCAAGAAGCCUCUUUUUUCAUUCCCCUUGCUUCCA